rnacentral:misc_RNA from 1 species
ACACCUCAACUCUCACGGCUUGCCGUGAUGAGCUUGGACUUUGGGGGUCUUGCUGGCCUGCAGUCAGCUCCUCUCAAAUCAAUCAGCUUGCCAGUGUUUGGUGGCAUCACGGGUGUGAUAACUAUCUACGCUCGUGGUGUUUCCACCAGGUGUCCUCCAGCGAUGGGGGCCUCUGGAGCUAAUAAACGUCUCUCCGGAGACAGCUUUUUGAAC